rnacentral:lncRNA from 1 species
ACUAUCAGAAUCGUGUCCUCAUGUAGGGGCAGUUCUUUUUUCCAUUGAAGUUGGGGUAAAGAUGCGAGAUUCAGCUUCCUGCACAACAGAGCAGUGCAAGUGGCUGAUGCCAUCACAUGUAAAAAAGGUGUACUGUGUACAGUUAUGGAUGCAAACAUGAAGCACAAGCCAGAGGAGCAUAUGAGAAGCUGAUGGUUCGGGAGCAUGCAGGCUUCUCCUGUAUGGACAGUGGUCUCUGGCUGAACCCCAAGUGGCCAUACAGACAGUGGUCUCUGGCUGAACCCCAAGUGGCCAUACAUGGGGUCCUCCCCUGAUGGGAUUGUCACGGAACUGGCAUCUGCGGGAUUAAGGUAACAUUACAGUCUCUGUUGUAGUAAGUUCCCUAUAUCUCGAGUAUGAGUCAAGUCUCAAGUCCUAAACUGAGCAAAAAGGCAGAAAUGAUCUUUGUUAAAGGAAAACGAAUCUUAACUUAGACAAAUUAAUACAUACCUGUCUUUUUUCAAUCUGUGCACUUCAUCUUUGCCCAGUGCGUUGUGAAUGUGUUAGCAUUAAGCCUAGCCCCAUUCAUUCCUUAGGAUCCAAACAGGGAUGAAUUUAGAAGCCACCAAACACUUCCUUGUUUUCCCUAUUUAAAGACGGUUACAUGAGUAGUUACACGAGUAAGUAUGGUGGCACAAAAUAAAAGGGGGCGAUUUUCUAAGUGGAUGAAAAAUAACUAUAUCAUAUGGCGGAAGAGCCCUUACUUUGUAGCACUUCAACCUCAGCGCUCAGUAACAUCAUCACUCUGACUCAGGAGUUGAGUGAGUGUGGGGGGGGGUGGGGGCUACUGCGUGCCGAGUGCCCACACUCUCACCAAGAUGAAGCCAAUCUGAGCAUGUGUGCAGGGGAAAAGAGUUUCUGCCUCAACAAUGAUGGGGAUAAUGUUAAACUGGACCGAAGUCAUGACUACUACUACCAAGUUCAGGCACAGCUUCACAUUGUAGAUGCUAAGUACUGUGACUUUGUUGUGUGGAACUGUAAUGACAUUAUUUUGGAAAGGAUUUUGCCUGAUUUUGAACUUUGGGAUGAUGUGAUUCCUAAAGUUGAGUGCUUUUUUAGAAACUGUAUACUUCCAGAAAUACUGGGACAGCAAGUUACAAACUUACAUGUGUAA